UUCCUCGUGCUGCCGCCCGAACCCACCUCCGCCCAGCGCGCCGCCCCGAUCCCACCUCCACCCAGCGCGCCGCCACCCGGAUCCACUGCCACCCUGCGCGCCGCUGGUCCUAUCCCCCUCCUCCCAGAGCGCCUCCGCCAAUCCCCCUCCUCCCAGCGUGCCUCCCGUCGCCGACCCCCGCCCCCAACUUGCCUCCUGCCAAUGACCCGCCUCCAUCCGCCGGCAUGCUUCCCUCGCCGUCCGCGGCGCGCCUCCCUCCCUCUCUAUCUCCCAUGAGCCGCCUCACCCGACGACCUGCGCACCAGUGCACCACCACCCCUACACCACCACCCCUACCCAGCCCCGCCACCGCCCGCCGCAGUCCCCAACCCCGCCGCCGCGCGCCACCGGCCCCAGCCCCACCACCGCGAGCCGCAGUCCCCAGCCGGACCAGACCCAAGCACGUCGCCAUGGCGCGACGUCUCCACCUCCCGGCGACGGAGCAACACCUUCCCGAUGGCAUGCCCACCACCACCGACGAGGCACUCUGCCCCAACCGACGCAGCUCCCCACCGCUGUUGUGCCGCUCCUUCCCCGCGUGUCUCCCCUUCUCCUCGCUGCACGGAUUGGUGUGCCGCGGCGCCGCCACCCAGGUGUUUGCAGUAAUGUUUGAGCACCGCACUAGCCACGACCGCAGUCGUUGCAUCCCUGAACUGCCAUGGGCCUCCUGCGGCCUUGCUUCUUCCUCUGCCUUCUGCGCGGGCGAACCCCUUUUCGUCUUCCCAGGCACGGCCGCGACCUCCUUCUCGGUUGUGGCGCUCCGUCCACCUUCCUCCCCGUCUACCUAGCAUAAGACACCUGCUGAUUUUAGAUCCUGCUAGCUUGGCAUGGGCAGAUUCCUUUACCAGGCAACACAAGUUUCGAUUUCCGGAACUUGUGCUUGAUUUUGAAUUACAUAUGUUGUUGACAGGAUGUUAGAAGAGAGCUAAAGAUAAAAGCGUUUGUGGUUCUUGAAUCGGCGCAAAAUAUGGACAUAGUCGUGCAAAGAUCCCUGACAGAGCGAGCCUGUCCAGAAUGCAACCAUCAUAAACUCGAAUAUUACACGAAGCAGCUUCGGUCGGCGGAUGAGGGGCAGACUAUCUUCUACGAGUGCCCGGAGUGCGGCCACACGUUCAAUGAGAACACCUAAGAAAAAGGUUUCCUACUAUCAGGCGGCCAAAUCCUGGUGCCGCUCGUGAACUCCGCCUCCAUCAGCUCCACUUCGCCGGAGCAAUCAGUCCAGAGGAGGAGGUGUAGCCGGUCCACCUGAUCUCCGACGUCUUAUUCUAACUCCAAAUAAAUUCUUUUCUAGUUCUAUUCUUAGUCACAUGUACACAUGCAGGUUCUAAACUUCUUGUCUAGUCAUUCUAGUACUGAUGAAGAUCGAGUUGACUGAAAUAAUAUAGUCAAUUCUUGAGACCCUUACUGGUCCUUCCAUAUAUAGAAGUUGUGCCUGAUAGCCAAACAUAACUUUUCUCUUUGUUGCCUGCUUGCUUAUUUUGGUGAUACAUUUGGACCUUUGCCUUGUCAGUACAACAACACACUCCACAGCCGAGCACUCCACAGCCGAGCACGAGAAGAGCUGCAUGCAGGCCACCCCUGUGCUCCGUCCUAUAUCCGGCUCAGUCAUCUCCCUCUCAUCCUCUUUCUCUGCUCCAUGUGUGUGUGUGUGCAGGUAGUGGGAGGAGAUAGAGCAGGGGAGUGAGAGGACCUUCCAUGGUGAAUCCAUAGGCAUCUUCCAUGGAGAUUGUGAGCUCUCCCGAUUAUUGCUUGAGGAUUUAUAUUGUAGGUACUUGAAGGGUGCAGACUUGGCAGCGGAGUGGUUUGUUCAACAACAGUACAAUGACCGAAAGAACUUCAGUUCAAAAAAAUAUGCAGGAGGUUUGGGAGCCAAACAACUGGAGGUUCAAAGAUUGUCGUGGAGCAAGUUCAAGAGUUUGGUUUCAUGUGAAAAAAUGUGAUUUCUUCUCAUACUGUUUCACAUGGUUUUGUCCAGUAAGUACAUAACUCAUGCUCUUAUUUGCAGAUCAUGCAAGUUCAACUAUAUAACCCGCCGCCGCCCAGGGACCCAACGCGCCGCCGCUCCUCUGAUUCUGCUCCCCGGCUCUGCUUGCAAUUCUUCUGCCGACACCAAUGUAUCAGCACCUUGGCUAUCCAUUCAAGUAAUCACAAAGACCAUCAUGGACGACGACGGGCCUACAGCAGCUAUGGUUUUAGUCAAGUGUUUCAAAAAUGCACAAUACUACUUUGUAUGCUUCACUCUUUGUCGUGGGAAGGUGACUAAAGCUCCAUAUUGCAAUUUCACUAGACUAUCCGGAUUUCAUUUAGUGUUCAAAAUUAAAUACUUUCUUGUCCAGUCAUACUAGUACUGAUGAACGUCAAGUUGACGUUGUGCUGCUGUAAAGCAACUGUACAACUCAAGGCCCCCCCCCCCCGCGAGCCCCCGCGUCGCUCCCAGGGGCGACUCGGGAGGCGAAACCCUAGCCGCCGCCCAGGCUCCCCUCCCCCUCCCUCCCCUCGCCGUCGCCGGAGGAUGCCGGCAGGCAAAGCCCUCACCGGUGGACGGCGGCGGCGGGGCCCUCGUUCGUGUGCUCGCGCGCUGCUGCUGGGCGCGCUGGAGCGGCGGGAGCGCGCGGUGGCGCGGUGGGCGGCCGUCUGCUCGCGGGGAGGUCGAGAUGGCGUGGACUGCGUGCGCGGUGGCGCUGCCAUGGCGGCCGCCGGCCGCUGAUGCGUGCGGCAGAGUUGAGGGCGCCCAGAUCUGGGCCGCACGAGCCCGCCCAGGCCGGCGACAAUCACUCUGCCCCCACCCACCCCUCUCCCUCCUCCCACCCCUCGUGGCCGCUGCCGGCGGUUGCCGCUGGGUUAGUAAGCACGCGCGCGGCGACCUUGACGGUUGCUGCUCCGCUGUGCCCCGGCGGAUCCUGGUGGCGGAGGCUGCGGGCCAGCGCGGCCGCGGCGCGGUGCAGGUGGCUGCUGCUGCCUGCUGAACACGCUCCCGGCGGUGGCCGGCCUGCUGGAGCUGCGCUGGUCGGUGCUCACUCCUGCGACGACAACGUUUCUAGGCUUCCCCCAUGUGUGUUGGUCUUCUCCGACGAUUCUUCGCCAUGCCCGGUCUGCCAUUGCAUCUGAGGUCUUCGUCCUUGGGUCGGGGCGAAAUCCCCGCGCGGCGACGGCCUGCGCUGUCAACGGCGACGCCCGAGGGUGCCGUCACCUCCUUGGAGGCGUUGGCAUGACCCUGACCAGACCUCCUCCUCGAGCACCGGGAGAAAUCCUAGGUCCGGUCUCCCGGACCGGGCAGCGGCGGCGUCUCAACGCCGUUCCCCUCUUGAUGGCGCUGCUUUGGCUGCAAGUGGAGUACUUGAUGCGGCAGAUAGUGGUUGGCGAUGCAUCGCUCUGGCGUAGACUGCUACACAAGGAGCAGGUCGCAACAUUUGCCUGCGCCGGCGCUCCCCAAUGAAUGCUACACCAGUUCCAAUCAGGCCCUGCUUUUCACCCGCCGACUCUCUAGGCACAUGGGUGCGAGGUACGUCGGCUUGGGCGGUCCUGAAGCUGCAUUCGUCCCUGGAAGUGCCUGGCAAUGGCAGUGAUGCUGCCCUGUUGCUCCGAGUCUCGGUGCUUCGCCAUUUUGGCUGGAGGCAAGGCUGGGCGAGGCCUAAUGUCGUUGCGUGUCUGUAGUUGAGGGCACCUCCUCACCUAGCUGUAGUCACUUGGUGAGGACGGUCGUGUGUGUGUGUGUGUGCGUGCGCGUGUGUGUGUGUCCCUCCUUUUUGGAGGUUGUACCCCUGAUGUCUUCCUGUUCAAUGCAAUGAAACGCAACUCUUUUGCGUUUUCUCGAAAAAG